GAUGAACGCUGGCGGCGUGCCUAAUACAUGCAAGUCGAGCGAACGGACGAGAAGCUUGCUUCUCUGAUGUUAGCGGCGGACGGGUGAGUAACACGUGGAUAACCUACCUAUAAGACUGGGAUAACCUCGGGAAACCGGAGCUAAUACCGGAUGAUAUUUUGAACCGCAUGGUUCAAAAGUGAAAGACGGUCUUGCUGUCACUUAUAGAUGGAUCCGCGCUGCAUUAGCUAGUUGGUAAGGUAACGGCUUACCAAGGCAACGAUACAUAGCCGACCUGAGAGGGUGAUCGGCCACACUGGAACUGAGACACGGUCCAGACUCCUACGGGAGGCAGCAGUAGGGAAUCUUCCGCAAUGGGCGAAAGCCUGACGGAGCAACGCCGCGUGAGUGAUGAAGGUCUUCGGAUCGUAAAACUCUGUUAUUAGGGAAGAACAUAUGUGUAAGUAACUGUGCACAUCUUGACGGUACCUAAUCAGAAAGCCACGGCUAACUACGUG
rnacentral:rRNA from 1 species